UUAUAGGUGGCCCAGCUUAAGAAAGUUCUUUACUCAUGAUGACUCAGUGUACACUGACUGUGUGCUAACCAGCAGCCUCUUCAGUAGUGUUCACAGCCUGUGCUUGUAUGGGUAGCCCAAAGGGACCUUGGAGACAGUU